GNNUAAUGCCUAGGAAUCUGCCUGGUAGUGGGGGAUAACGUCCGGAAACGGGCGCUAAUACCGCAUACGUCCUGAGGGAGAAAGUGGGGGAUCUUCGGACCUCACGCUAUCAGAUGAGCCUAGGUCGGAUUAGCUAGUUGGUGGGGUAAAGGCCUACCAAGGCGACGAUCCGNAACUGGUCUGAGAGGAUGAUCAGUCACACUGGAACUGANACACGGUCCAGACUCCUACGGGAGGCAGCGGUGGGGAAUAUUGGACAAUGGGCGAAAGCCUGAUCCAGCCAUGCCGCGUGUGUGAAGAAGGUCUUCGGAUUGUAAAGCACUUUAAGUUGGGAGGAAGGGCAGUNAGUUAAUACCUUGCUGUUUUGACGUUACCAACAGAAUAAGCACCGGCUAACUUCGUGCCAGCAGCCGCGGUAAUACCAAGGGUGCNANCGUUAAUCGGAAUUACUGGGCGUAAAGCGCGCGUAGGUGGUUCAGCAAGUUGGAUGUGAAAUCCCCGGGCUCNNC
rnacentral:rRNA from 1 species